rnacentral:rRNA from 1 species
UGGGGAAUAUUGGACAAUGGGCGCAAGCCUGAUCCAGCCAUGUCGCGUGAGUGAUGAAGGCCCUAGGGUUGUAAAGCUCUUUCACCGGUGAAGAUAAUGACGGUAACCGGAGAAGAAGCCCCGGCUAACUUCGUGCCAGCAGCCGCGGUAAUACGAAGGGGGCUAGCGUUGUUCGGAUUUACUGGGCGUAAAGCGCACGUAGGCGGACUUUUAAGUCAGGGGUGAAAUCCCGGGGCUCAACCCCGGAACUGCCUUUGAUACUGGAAGUCUUGAGUAUGGUAGAGGUGAGUGGAAUUCCGAGUGUAGAGGUGAAAUUCGUAGAUAUUCGGAGGAACACCAGUGGCGAAGGCGGCUCACUGGACCAUUACUGACGCUGAGGUGCGAAAGCGUGGGUAGCAAACAGGAUUAGAUACCCGUGUAGUCCCUGAGCGGGCUGGCAAGGCGCAU